rnacentral:rRNA from 1 species
GACGAACGCUGGCGGCGUGCUUAACACAUGCAAGUCGAACGGAAAGGCCCUGCUUUUGUGGGGUGCUCGAGUGGCGAACGGGUGAGUAACACGUGAGUAACCUGCCCUUUACUUUGGGAUAACUUCAGGAAACUGGGGCUAAUACCGGAUAUGAGCUCCUGCUGCAUGGUGGGGGUUGGAAAGUUUCGGCGGUUGGGGAUGGACUCGCGGCUUAUCAGCUUGUUGGUGGGGUAGUGGCUUACCAAGGCUUUGACGGGUAGCCGGCCUGAGAGGGUGACCGGCCACAUUGGGACUGAGAUACGGCCCAGAGGCAUACGGGAGGCAGCAGUGGGGAAUAUUGCACAAUGGGCGGAAGCAUGAAGCAGCAACGCCGCGUGCGGGAUGACGGCCUGCGGGGUGUAAACCGCUUUCGACUGUGAAGAAGAGUGAGUGACGGUAAUGGGUAAAGAAGCACCGGCUAACUACGUG